UACAGAGGGUGCAAGCGUUGUUCGGAAUUACUGGGCGUAAAGCGCGCGCAGGCGGUUUUUCAAGUCAGUGGUGAAAGCCCGGAGCUCAACUCCGGAACUGCCAUUGAAACUGUGAAACUUGAGGAUGAGAGAGGUGAGUGGAAUUCCCAGUGUAGAGGUGAAAUUCGUAGAUAUUGGGAAGAACACCGGUGGCGAAGGCGGCUCACUGGCUCAUUUCUGACGCUCAGGCGCGACAGCGUGGGGAUCAAACAGG
rnacentral:rRNA from 1 species